rnacentral:rRNA from 1 species
GCAAGAUUAAAACUCAAAGGAAUAGACGGGGACCCGCACAAGCGGUGGAGCAUGUGGUUUAAUUCAACGAUACGCGAAGAACCUUACCUGGCCUUGACAUAGAAAGAACUUUCCAGAGACGGAUUGGUGCUAGUUUACUAGAGCUUUCAUACAGGUGCUGCACGGCUGUCGUCAGCUCGUGUCGUGAGAUGUUGGGUUAAGUCCCGCAACGAGCGCAACCCUCGUGUUUAGUUACUAACAGUUCGGCUGAGGACUCUAAACAGACUGCCUGGGUAACCAGGAGGAAGGUGAGGGCGACGUCAAGUCAUCAUGGCCCUUACGGCCAGGGCUACACACGUGCUACAAUGGGGUAUACAAAGAGCUGCAAUACGGUGACGUGGAGCAAAUCUCAUAAAAUAUCUCCCAGUUCGGGUUGAAGUCUGCAACUCGACUUCAUGAAGUUGGAAUCGCUAGUAAUCGUAGAUCAGCAAUGCUACGGUGAAUACGUUCCCGGGUCUUGUACUCACCGCCCGUCACACCAUGGGAAUUGAAUUCAUUCGAAGCGGGGAUGCUAAAAUAGCUACCUUCCACAGUGGAUUUAGUAACUAGGGUGAAGUCGUAACAAGG